rnacentral:rRNA from 1 species
CUCCCCCUACGGGAGGCAGCAGUGGGGAAUAUUGCACAAUGGGGGAAACCCUGAUGCAGCAACGCCGCGUGAGUGAAGAAGUCAUUCGUGAUGUAAAGCUCUAUCAACAGGGAAGAAAAUGACGGUACCUGAGUAAGAAGCCCCGGCUAACUACGUGCCAGCAGCCGCGGUAAUACGUAGGGGGCAAGCGUUAUCCGGAUUUACUGGGUGUAAAGGGCGUGCAGCCGGGACUGCAAGUCAGAUGUGAAAUCCGCGGGCUUAACCCGCGAACUGCAUUUGAAACUGCGGAUCUUGAGUACCGGAGG